GACGAACGCUGGCGGCGUGCUUAACACAUGCAAGUCGAGCGGUAAGGCUCCUUCGGGAGUACACGAGCGGCGAACGGGUGAGUAACACGUGAGCAACCUGCCCUUCUCAUCGGAAUAAGCGUUGGAAACGACGUCUAAUGCCGAAUAUGACCUCCUUUCGCAUGAUCGGAGGUGGAAAGCUCCGGCGGAGAAGGAUGGGCUCGCGGCCUAUCAGCUUGUUGGUGGGGUAACGGCCCACCAAGGCGACGACGGGUAGCCGGCCUGAGAGGGUGACCGGCCACACUGGGACUGAGACACGGCCCAGACUCCUACGGGAGGCAGCAGUGGGGAAUAUUGGACAAUGGGCGAAAGCCUGAUCCAGCAACGCCGCGUGAGGGAUGACGGCCUUCGGGUUGUAAACCUCUUUCAGCAGGGACGAAGCGAAAGUGACGGUACCGGGUGAGGAAGCCCCGGCUAACUCUGUGCCAGCAGCCGCAGUAA
rnacentral:rRNA from 1 species